UUCUUUUAACAAUUAAAAUAGUAAAUUGUGAUCUCUUAACAAGCCAAAGAAUCCAUUUCCCAUACUAGGAGAAAAAAAAAAAACGUCAGAACUCACAAGUCACAACAAACCCGAGUAGUCCUAGCCCCUCACCUCACUUCUUUCCGUUAUCAUCGAAACAAGCCCCAAUCACACUGAACCUUGAGAGAAAAUGGUGGUGGUGAUAGAGCAGCAAGAGACUGAGGAUCGAAACGCGAAUCCUUCCAACGCUGCCGGUAACGACGCUUCCGACGGUUUUGAAACGGCCAGCGACACCGACCUGGGCAGCGACACCGGAGGCGAUGACGUCGGUGCUAGCAGCCAUGAUCAACAGCUCGAACAACCGCAACAGCAACAUCAACAACAGCAGCCGAAGCCAGAGCAUUCGGAGCCGGAACCUGAGCAGAGUGUUUCUCCAAGUAAUAGUUUCUCUGGGGAUCCCUUGAUCAACGAGGAAUUGGAGAAGAAAGCAUUGGUUCAAGCAAAUGAGGCAAAGGCAGAAGGGAACAAGCUUUUUGUGGAUGGGAAGUAUGAGGAAGCAUUAUCCCAGUAUGAACUUGCUCUACAAGUUGCACCUGAUAUGCCUUCAUCUGUUGAAAUACUCUCAAUAUGUCAUGCAAACCGUGCUGUGUGCUUUCAGAAACUGGGAAAAUAUGACAACACAGUUAAAGAAUGCACAAAAGCAUUAGAUCUGAAUCCAGUGUAUAUUAAAGCUUUAGUAAGAAGAGGAGAAGCUCAUGAAAAGCUUGAACAUUUUGAAGAAGCCAUUGCUGAUAUGAAAAAGAUCUUAGAAAUUGAUCCCUCAAAUGAUCAAGCUAGGAAGGCCAUCAGGCGACUUGAGCCGCUUGCUGCAGAAAAGCGGGAAAUGAUGAAGGAAGAGAUGAUUGCAAAACUAAAAGAAAUGGGAAAUUCUGUCUUGGGCCGGUUUGGGAUGAGUGUCGAUAACUUCAAAACAGUUAAAGAUCCAAACACUGGUUCCUAUUCUAUCUCAUUCCAGCGUUAAGCCUGGCAGAGCAAAGUCAUAAUAGCAUUAAGAAAGAUGCAGUCCAUAAUGAUGCAGGCACCUUGGAAUUCUGGGUUAUUUAAGUAGUGAGGAAGUUGAACAUUGCUAGAAUCAUGAGUAAGUGCAAACAUAACGGUUCAUGAUGGCAAUAUCGAAGUGUUUUGGGUUUGUUCGCGGCUGCUUUUCAUCACGGGUUUAUUCAUUGUGUUGUGUUAGUUAUUACUGUUAGAUGUGAUUACUGAUUAACUAACAAGUGGUUGUUUAUUUGUUUUACAAAGGCCCUUAAUUCAUGCAGAUAAUAUAAAUUGAGUCUUUGAACUAUACGUA